UUUAAUUUCAAAAAUUAAAGUUAUUUUUGUAAGUGAAGAAACUACAAUAAAAAUUAAGGACAAGAAGACCCUAAGAAUUUUGUAUAACUUUUUUAUAAAAUUUAUAAAUUUUUAUUUUAAUUGGGGCGAUUGAUAAAAAUAUAAAACUUUAUAUCCAAAAAAAAAUGAACCAUUAAUAGUGGUUAUAUGAAAAAAAUACUCUAGGGAUAACAGCGUAAUAAUUUUUGAUAGUUCAUAUAGACAAAAUAGUUUGCGACCUCGAUGUUGGAUUAGGAUUCUUAUUUAAUGAAGAAGUUAAAUUAAGAAGUUUGUUCAACUUUUAAUCUC
rnacentral:rRNA from 1 species